rnacentral:rRNA from 1 species
GGGGUGAUCGGCCACAUUGGGACUGAGACACGGCCCCAAACUCCUACGGGAGGCAGCAGUAGGGAAUCUUCGGCAAUGGACGAAAGUCUGACCGAGCAACGCCGCGUGAGUGAAGAAGGUUUUCGGAUCGUAAAACUCUGUUGUUAGAGAAGAACAAGGAUGAGAGUAACUGUUCAUCCCUUGACGGUAUCUAACCAGAAAGCCACGGCUAACUACGUGCCAGCAGCCGCGGUAAUACGUAGGUGGCAAGCGUUGUCCGGAUUUAUUGGGCGUAAAGCGAGCGCAGGCGGUUUCUUAAGUCUGAUGUGAAAGCCCCCGGCUCAACCGGGGAGGGUCAUUGGAAACUGGGAGACUUGAGUGCAGAAGAGGAGAGUGGAAUUCCAUGUGUAGCGGUGAAAUGCGUAGAUAUAUGGAGGAACACCAGUGGCGAAGGCGGCUCUCUGGUCUGUAACUGACGCUGAGGCUCGAAAGCGUGGGGAGCAAACAGGAUUAGAUACCCUGGUAGUCCACGCCGUAAACGAUGAGUGCUAAGUGUUGGAGGGUUUCCGCCCUUCAGUGCUGCAGCUAACGCAUUAAGCACUCCGCCUGGGGAGUACGACCGCAAG